GUGAGGAAUAUUGGUCAAUGGCCGAGAGGCUGAACCAGCCAAGUCGCGUGAGGGAAGACGGCCCUACGGGUUGUAAACCUCUUUUGUCGGGGAGCAAAGCGAGUCACGUGUGACUCAUUGAGAGUACCCGAAGAAAAAGCAUCGGCUAACUCCGUGCCAGCAGCCGCGGUAAUACGGAGGAUGCGAGCGUUAUCCGGAUUUAUUGGGUUUAAAGGGUGCGCAGGCGGAGGUGCAAGUCAGCGGUCAAAUUGCGGGGCUCAACCCCGUACUGCCGUUGAAACUGCAUCCCUUGAGUGCGCGAGAAGUAUGCGGAAUGCGUGGUGUAGCGGUGAAAUGCAUAGAUAUCACGCAGAACUCCGAUUGCGAAGGCAGCAUACCGGCGCGCAACUGACGCUCAUGCACGAAAGCGUGGGUAUCGAACAGGAUUAGAAACCCGAGUAGUCC
rnacentral:rRNA from 1 species